UCCAGCUCAGCUCGGACCUGAGGCUCUCCCCUCUCUCCAAGCAGCGCUGUAGGGAUGGCUGCUCAUGGCCUUAGCUGAUGUGGUCCCUAAAUCGUUGACAGUUCUUGUCUUGACCUUGGAUGUUCCUUGACCUUGCUGGGUGCUGACUGGACUGCGUCUGACCCUGCCCUGCCCUCCCAGGCUGUGCUGUGGGUUCAGCUGAAGCUGGCUGCCACCUCCACUGCUCUGCUCACUGCUCUCAGGAUUGCCUCCUGCAUUGGUCAGACCCUUCUCAUCCCACUCAAGCAAGGAUGAAAAGCAGCCCUGAAAUGCUUCAGGAGGGAUGGCAGGAUCCAGUGGUGGGAUGUCAGUGUCUGGAGUCUGGCACCUCCCCUCCAUUUCUGGGAGCUGCUGCCUCACAAUGGAGCAAUGCAGUGUCUGCCCAGCAGCAUCCUGCCCUGGAGGAGAGAAGUUCCCAGACCCUGCCAAGUAUCAACAUCAAGAACGUGUCCCACGGAGACAAGGCCACACAGCAGCUUCCCUGUGUCAGCAUUCCCACUGAGCCCUUCCAACAGGCAGCCCGAAUUCCCUGCUCACACACACAGAGUUAUGCAGGUAGCUUGGCUCUGGACAGAGAAAUGGAGGAAAUAUCUGACAGAUUCACACCAUGGAGAGCAGCGCUUGCUUGGAGAAAUUGCUGUCUAACAGAUCCUUUGUGGACUUCCGACCAAAACCAUCCAGUGCAACAUAUGAGCACGAUCUGUGGUUACACCAUGGAGAAGCAAACCUGGAAAAAAACUUGUUGGACUGGCUCAGAG